CCUACGGGAGACAGCAGUGAGGAAUAUUUGUCAAUGGCCGUAAGCCUGAACCAGCCAAGUCGCGUGAAGGAAGAAGGAUCUAUGGUUUGUAAACUUCUUUUAUAGGGAAAUAACGGUAUCCUCGUGUGCAUCUUUACAUUUACUCUAUGAAUCAGCAUCGGCUAACUCCGUGCCAGCAGCCGCGGUAAUACGGAGGGUCCGGGCGUUAUCCGGAUUUCUUGGGUUUAAAGUGAGCGUAGGCCUCAUGUCAAGCGUGCUGUGAAAUGUCCGGGCUCAACCCGGGCAGUGCAGCGGGAACUGGCGUGCUGGAGUACGGGGAAGGCAGGCGGAAUUCGUGGUGUAGCGGUGAAAUGCUUAGAUAUGACGAAGAACACCGAUUGCGAAGGCAGCUUGCUGCAGCGGAACUGACGCUGAUGCUCGAAAGCGUGGGUAUCGAACAGGAUUAGAUACCCCGGUAGUC
rnacentral:rRNA from 1 species